UACGGAGGGUGCAAGCGUUGCUCGGAAUUACUGGGCGUAAAGCGCGUGUAGGCGGUCUCGUGUGUCUGGCGUGAAAGCCACGGGCUCACCCCGGGAAGUGCGUUGGAAACUGCGAGACUAGAGUUCCGGAGAGGAAGGUGGAAUUCCAGGUUUAGCGGUGAAAUGCGUAGAUAUCUGGAAGAACACCGGUGGCGAAGUCGGCCUUCUGGACGGGGACUGACGCUGAGACGCGAAAGCGUGGGGAGCAAACAGG
rnacentral:rRNA from 1 species